rnacentral:rRNA from 1 species
UACGAAGGUCCCAAGCGUUGUUCGGAAUCACUGGGCGUAAAGGGCGCGUAGGCGGCGUGGUAAGUCAGAUGUGAAAUCCCGGGGCUCAACCCCGGAACUGCCUUUGAUACUGCUAGUCUCGAGUCCGGAAGAGGUGAGUGGAAUUCCGAGUGUAGAGGUGAAAUUCGUAGAUAUUCGGAGGAACACCAGUGGCGAAGGCGGCUCACUGGUCCGGUACUGACGCUGAGGUGCGAAAGCGUGGGGAGCAAACAGG